rnacentral:rRNA from 1 species
AACGUAGGGGACAAGCGUUAUCCGGAUUUACUGGGCGUAAAGCGCCCGUAGGCGGCUUGAUAAGUUGGACGUGAAAGCUCCCGGCUUAACUGGGAGAGGCCGUUCAAAACUGACAGGCUAGAGUGAGGAAGAGGAGAGCGGAAUUCCCGGUGUAGUGGUGGAAUGCGCAGAUAUCAGGAGGAACACCGGUGGCGAAGGCGGAUCUCUGGGCCGUAACUGACGCUGAGGAGCGAAAGCAUGGGGAGCGAACAGG